GACAGGUUAUGAAGCUACACAUAGGUAUUCCCACAGAGAUAACAGAAAAACCCUUCUCAGGCUACACCAUCUGUCUGUGAACAGGAUGCACCUGCCUACAAAAAAGGCUCCAGCCACCUCUAGGCGUGUCAACAGAGGGCGUCACCUUGGAGAUUCUCCCAGUGAGAGGGUGUUGCUGUGGAAAUGCCAGGAACUGCACUUUGUUUUGGUCUGUUUCUGGUGAUUCAAUGAUAUUCUUGCAGUGGGGAAAUCAAAAUCUUCUUCCAGUCCAUAAAUCCUAGAAAGAAAGAUGAUGGUUAUAAAGUGAGUCAGCUGUAAGACGUUGUUAACCAACAUAGUUACUUCCUGAAUUUUUAUGAUGACCCAAAUAAAAUUGGAUGAAUUCUGCGUAAAACAACGAA